rnacentral:RNase_P_RNA from 2 species
CGACAAGCGCGGCCUGUUGAUCCGUAAGGGUAGGAAAGUCCGGACACCGUAGGGCAACAUAGCGGUUAAUGGCCGUCAUCCGUAAGGGUAGGACAAGUGCAACAGAAAGCAAGUACAGUUCGGCUGUAGUGAAACCAGGUAAACUCUAUGUGGUGCAAUGCUAUGUAUACCGGCAAUUAAGGGCGGCUCGUCCAAUGCCGGGGGGUAAGCAGCUACAUCGUAUCGGCAACGAUACGGGCAGAUAAAUAACAGGCAUCCCGCUCCCUUGGGAGCGGGAUACAGAAUCCGGCUUAUAGCGCUUGUCUUUUU